CAUGUAUUUGUGCAGUCAGCUUGUCCAUGUUUACGCUGUCAGUUAUUUUAGUGUGUAUCUGCAGUUGGGUUGGGAUGCGCGGUGUGGACCAUGUUUCCACUAUUGCCCUUCGGGUGGCCAGGGCUAUUCUGGCAAUGAGUUUGUUUUCGUUAUGAGUGAAGAUGUCGAUGGGUUUGGAGAUGAGAAAGGCCCAAGGGUCUAAAGGUACUGGUUUGUUAAGUAAUCUGGUUAAGAGUGUGGUCAGCGUUGUCCAUAUGGGGGCGACUUUGGGGCAGGUCCACCAGCAGUGGAGAAACGUGCCAGCCUCGCCGCACAGUUUCCAACAUAAGUUGGUGGGAAGUUGUUGCAUUGCCUUUAGGCGGAAGGGGGUAAGGUACCACCUGAAAAGCAUUUUGUAGGCCUGUUCCUUAUGGGUUACACAGGUGGAGAUGGAUUUGAUGGCUGUCCAAAUGUCUGCCCAGUCAGUGGGGGGCCCCAAGUCACUCUCCCAUGCUGCGAUGUAUGGGAGUGCUAUUUGGGUGUGAUGUGUGGUUAGGGAUGUGUAGAGGCUUGAUAUUUGGCUCUUUCUGGCCGGUGAGUUGAUGGUGUCCCUCUCAAACCCUGUCAGGGCCGAGGUGGCUGCCAAGCGAACCGUGUCUGAUGCUGCAAAACUACGGAGUUGGAGAUAUCGAAAGUAGUCAUGGGUGGUUAAGGAUUCCGGAUUAGGAACCUCUGCGUAUUGGAGGAGUUUACCAUUGGGGUAAAGGUGUCCUAGUCUAACUAUGUCUCUGUCUUCGAAGUGAGCGUAGUGCCUGGGAG